AUUACUUGACUCCAGGAGGUCGAGGCUGCAGUGAACCAUGUUCAUGCCACUGCACUCCAGCCUGGGUGAGAGAGUGAGACCCUGUCUUGAAAAAAUAUGAAGCUGCUCUUUUGAAGAGCAUUCUAAUGACUUACCCGCAGAUUCUAGGAAAGCAGUUAAAUUCUGCUUUUAAUGUCUCUCUUUCUAGAUUUCUCCCUUCUAUCGUUAUUGUUGUUGUGUCCUCAAACAAAAACAUUUAGUACUUAUUGUGAGCUUCAUAGGGUUGUUGUGAAUUAAUGCUUGUAAAGCUCUUAGUGCGAUACCUGACACAUAGACGGCAUUUAAUAUUAUUAUCAUUAUUGUUGGGUAGCACUCAGUUCAUGAAAUUCCCACACACAGUCAAGUGGUAAAUGCUAUUGCUUUGUAAGUAUCAUCGAUGAGGAACCUGAAGCUCACAGAGGUUGAUGACUUGCCUAGGAUCGCUCAGAAAGCAGGCAGCAGAGCUAAUUGCCAUGGUAACCAUUUCCAAGCUUCAGUGCCCAGAGAUGGACCCAGUCUGGCAUUGGCUCGUCCCCUGAAGCACUGUGAGUGUCUUGACAGAUAAGUAAAGGAAGUCACUAAUUUCUGAAUAAUGCCCAGGUGUGGUUGGCAUUGUUAGGGGUCAGUGAAGACACUCUCAAAGACCUUACUGCUUAGCUUUUUUAUCUUUCACCUUUAAUGCUCCUGUUAACCCCAGGAACUAACCAAAGGGGAGUUUUCUUUAUCAGCUCCAAGAGAGAUGCCAUGGUUGUCCCAAGGUUCUGGAGCUAAAGGUGGGACCAGGACCAGACUUCAGUUUCUGUGUUUUCAAAUUCAAUUCUAUUCUCCUCUCAGUAGACCAGGAGGCCUCCAGACAAGACAGAUGGCAGACAGCUACAGUAGUUUAAAAUAGCCUGAGCUCACUUCUGAGGUAGACAUGUGCGUGGAGUGAGCUGGAAGACAGGGACCCCUGUGUGGGAAAGCAUUCUGGCAAACAGAAGCCCAGUGGGGAGUUCUGAUGCUAGGAUGAGUGUCAUCAGGUUGGGGUGAGGGUGUGAGAAGAGACCUGAGCUGUUGCCAACCUGAGACUGAAUCGGGAGGAGAGAAGAGAGAGGACAGGUGCCAGGCAAGAUGCAGCACUGCCAGGAGGUAGAGGCUUCCUCCCUCCUUUCCAGCUGUGCUUCGAGAGGGGGAGGUCAGCAAACAGGCUCCAAGGUGUGGUCCCUAGCACCUGUGCUGGAACAAUGCGACCCAGCAUUCCUUCCCAUCCUUGAUUGAACCAGGGAUGGCUCCACUUGAUCCUCUCUCUGGGGACUGGGACUUAGCAUUCAGAAAUGCCAGCUAGCUUCCAUCGACAGCAGACUGGAAGGAUCAGGCAUCUUAGGAACCAUGUGUUGGGCAUCAAAAAAUUGAGAAAGCUUAUCUUUA